rnacentral:rRNA from 1 species
UACAGAGGUCUCGAGCGUUAGGCGGAAUCACUGGGCUUAAAGCGUGUGUAGGCGGAUCGUUUAGUACCUUGUGAAAUCCCACGGCUUAACCGUGGAAUUGCUGGGUAUACUGGCGAUCUUGAGCCACUUAGGGGCUAACCGGAACAAAUGGUGGAGCGGUGAAAUGCGUAGAUAUCGACUUGGAACGCCGAAGGUGAAAACAGGCUGCUGGGGUUGUGCCGACGCUGAGAACACGGAAAGCCAGGGGAGCAAACGGG